rnacentral:sRNA from 1 species
UAUGGAUUUAUCAACACCUGUCUGCAAUCUCUUGUGACAGAGAAAUUUGGCGAAGAAAUAUGGGAAAAAUUGAAAACUUCUGCAGAAGUACAAGAUGCCUUCAUGACCUACACAAUGUAUGAUGACAUCAUCACCAUUAAGCUCAUCCAAGAGGCCUGCAACAUUCUGGGUGUCUCCAUGGAAGCCAUCCUGAAACUCUUUGGAGAAUACUUCUUUCAAUUCUGUAAGAUGUCUGGCUAUGACAGGAUGCUACGGACACUGGGAGGAAAUCUCAUGGAGUUUAUUGAAAACCUAGAAGCCCUCCACAGUUACCUGGCACUCUCUUAUCAGGAGAUGAAUGCACCAUCGUUUCGUGUGGAGAGAGGAGCAGAUGGGAAAAUGUUUUUCCAUUACUACUCGGGUAGAGGUGGUCUGUGCCACAUUGUACAGGUAUCAUUGAGGCUGUGGCCAAAGACUUCUUUGACAUUAAUGUAACCAUGGACAUUCUUGACAUGAAUGAAGAAGUGGAGAGGACAGGGAAGAAGGAGCAUGUUGUGUUUCUGAUUGUACAGAAGGCUCGCAGGAAGGUGAGAAAGACAAAGCCAAAAAGAUUACAAGACAGUCAGGGCAUCGAGAGAGACCAAGAGGCCCUCCUGGCAGCUUUCCUCAGGAUGAAGGAGAAGUAUUUGAAUGUCUCUUCUUAUCCUGUGAAAAAAUUCCACUGGGAUGUUGUGAGAAGCAUAGUCAUGUUUGGAAAAGGGCAUCUCAUGAACACCUUUGAGCCAAUUUAUCCUGAGAGACUCUGGAUUGAAGAGAAGACAUUCUGCUAUGCUUUUCCUUUCCACAUUGUAUUUGAUGAAUCACUACGGGUGAAGCAAGCCGGAGUGAACAGUCAGAAGUACGUACCAGGACUCCAAACCCAGAAGAUUCAACUGGAUGAGUAUUUCUCCAUCAUUCAUCCUCAAGUUACCUUCAACAUUUUCAGCAUCCUCAAAUUUAUCAACAGUCAAUUUGUCCUGAAGACACGAAGAGAAAUGAUACCUGUAGCAUGGCAAAGUCAGACCACACUCAAACUUCGAGUCCAGAUGAUCUGGAUGGAGUGCAUGCGGUGCAUGGUGUACCUGUGCUCUCCAAAGUUCCGCAGCCUGCAAGAGCUGGAAGAACUCAAUAUGCAUCUUUCUGACAUCGCCCCCCACGACACCACCAGGGAUCUCAUCCUCCUGAACCAGCAGCGGCUGGCUGAGAUAGAGCUGUCCAACCAGCUGGAAAGGAAGAAGGAGGAGCUACGGGUCCUCUCCAAGCACUUGGCCAUUGAAAAGAAGAAAACAGAGACCUUACUUUGUGCCAUGCUGCCCAAACAUGUGGCCAACCAGCUGAGGGAGGGCAAAAAGGUGGCUGCAGGAGAAUGUAAAAGCUGCACGAUUCUUUUCAGUGAUGUAGUGACAUUUACUAACAUCUGUACUGCCUGUGAACCUAUACAAAUAGUGAACAUGCUGAACUCCAUGUACUCCAAGUUUGACAGAUUAACCAGUGUGCACGCGGUCUAUAGUAGAAACAAUAGGAGAUGCUUAUAUGGUGGUAGGAGGUGUACCAGUGCCUUUUGGAAGCCAUGCUCAAAGAGUGGCUAAUUUUGCCUUGGGGAUGAGAAUUUCUGCAAAGGAAGUGAUAAAUCCUGUUACUGGAGAACACAUCCAGAUCAGAGUGGGGAUCCAUACUGGACCAGUCUUAGCAGGUGUUGUAGGAGACAAGAUGCCAUGGUACUGCUUGUUUGGUGACACUGUGAACACAGCUUCUAGGAUGGAAAGUCUUGGGCUUCCCAACAAAGUGCACCUCAGUCCCACAGCCUACAGAGCCUUGAAAAAUCAAGGGUUUGAAAUCAUUGAGAGGGGUGAAAUCGAAGUGAAAGGUAAAGGGAAAAUGACCACAUACUUUUUGAUCCAGAACUUGAAUGCCACAGAGGAUGAGAUCAUGGGGAGAUCUAAAACCCCACUUGAUCACAAG